UCCUAACCUUACCUUCUGGUCUGGUGAUUUUUUGGUGCUUCAUCAUCAUAUCCGCUAUAAAAACCCUAAAUUCAAUCACCCAAAAGCCUAUCUUUCUUUCGUCUCUUGCUCUUUCUCUUUCUGUUUAUUCCAUGCGUAGAAACUCAAUUGUGGAUAAAGAUAGAAGGGUUUGUUAUUCAUUCCCAUAAUUAUACCAAGUGAGGACUCCAAAAUGAAGAAGAUUUGGGUUUGAGGAGCUAAUGAAGUCACGUGCUCAGGCCCUGCGACAUAAAUGAUAUGGUGGCUAAGGGUGAGACAAUGGCAUUGGUAACCUAUCAAAUGCAGGUUUCAUAUUCUACAUUCCACUCAAGACCUCUAUCAUGGGACAAAGGGUUGAAGUUGAAGCAGAGUGUAAAAACAUUACACAUGGUUGGGAAAACAGAUAGGAGUUUCUUAUUAAAGCGCAAUGCUCGUUUAAGGUGAGAGUUUUCCUUCAU